rnacentral:rRNA from 1 species
AGCAGCCGCGGUAAUUCCAGCUCCAAUAGCGUAUAUUAAAGUUGUUGCAGUUAAAAAGCUCGUAGUUGAAUUUCGAGAUCAAUUUGUUGGUCGUGCCUCGGUACGUACUGGCAAUUUUGAUUUCUCCCUUCUGAAGAACCAUGAUGUCAUUAAUUUGGUGUCAUGGGGAAUCAGGACCGUUACUUUGAAAAAUUAGAGUGUUUAAAGCAGGCUCGCGCUUGAAUACAUUAGCAUGGAAUAAUGAAAUAGGACGUUUGAUUCUAUUUUGUUGGUUUCUAGGAUCGACGUAAUGAUUAAUAGGGAUAGUUGGGGGCAUUAGUAUUCAAUUGUCAGAGGUGAAACUCUUGGAUUUAUUGAAGACUAACUACUGCGAAAGCAUUUGCCAAGGAUGUUUUCAUUAAUCAAGAACGAAAGUUAGGGGAUCGAAGACGAUCAGAUACCGUCGUAGUCUUAACCAUAAACUAUGCCGAC